rnacentral:rRNA from 1 species
AAUAUUGGACAAUGGGCGGAAGCCUGAUCCAGCCAUGCCGCGUGUGUGAAGAAGGUCNNNGGAUUNUCAAGCACUUUAAUUUGNGAGNAAGGGUUUACACCUAAUACGUGUGAACUUUGACGUUACCAACAGAAUAAGCACCGGCUAACUUCGUGCCAGCAGCCGCGGUAAUACGAAGGGUGCAAGCGUUAAUCGGAAUUACUGGGCGUAACGCGCGCGUAGGUGGUUUGUCAAGUUGGAAGUGAAAGCCCCGGGCUCAACCUGGGAACUGCUUUCAAAACUGGCAAGCUAGAGUAUGGCAGAGGGUGGUGGAAUUUCCUGUGUAGCGGUGAAAUGCGUAGAUAUAGGAAGGAACACCAGUGGCGAAGGCGACCACCUGGACUGAUACUGACACUGAGGUGCGAAAGCGUGGGGAGCAAACAGG